GCACUGUUAGCUCAAUUGGAUAGAGCGUCGGCCUACGGAGCCGAAGGUUGCAGGUUCGAAUCCUGCACGGUGCG
rnacentral:tRNA from 1 species